GGAUUCAGUCCCUUUUUCCAGGGGUACGUAUGGGGGUCUACGUACCCCUUUGCCAGAGUUGCAGCUGCUUUUGCCAAGAAGCCUGGGUGUCUAAGUUUCUUGGGGCUCUGCAUGUGCCUGAGUGGCUGCUCUGCUGAGACUCCACAUAAUUCUGUGUGUCAGACUGAAGACCCUUGUGGAGUGAGUUCAUGAAGAAGGCAGAAGAAAUCAGAGAGAAGGAUGGAGUGGGGAAAAGAAGAGGGAGGCUGACAGAGAAGCUUAAAGAAAUGCUUUCAGAUGGCAACAAAAGCCAAAAUAGACAAAUGGGAUUUAAUUAAACGAAAGAGUUUCUGCACAGCAAAAUAAACUAUCAUCAGCGUGAACAGGCAACCUACCGAAUGGGAGAAAAUUCUCACAAUCUACCCAUUUGACAAAAGGCUAAUAUCCAGAAUCUACAAAGAACUUAAAC
rnacentral:lncRNA from 10 species